GAUGAAGAACGUAGCGAAAUGCGAUAAGUAAUGUGAAUUGCAGAAUUCAGUGAAUCAUCGAAUCUUUGAACGCACAUUGCGCCCAUUAGUAUUCUAGUGGGCAUGCCUGUUCGAGCGUCAUUUCAACCCUUAAGCCUAGCUUAGUAUUGGGAAUCGACUUUACUGUCGUUCCUCAAAUUCAACGGCGGAUUUAUAGCAAUCUCUGAACGUAGUAAUUUUUUUCCUCGUUUUUGAAAUACUAUAAACCUCAGCCGCUAAACCCCCAAUUUUUCUAUGGUUGACCUCGGAUCAGGUAGGAAUACCCGCUGAACUUAAGCAUAUCAAUAGGGAGGA
rnacentral:misc_RNA from 1 species